CGAGGGCUGAGGUGGGAGGUCGGGGGCGUCCCCGCGGGUUAAGCGUGCGAGAGAGCGAGGUGCACCAGCGGGCAUGGAUGGCCUGUGCAGAGUCCAGUCUUGUGAGGGCGGCGAACUAGGCAGCGAAUCGCGGGAGUUUCCUAUUGGCAGCAGUCCGAGUCCCAGACGUUAAUUUGUAACAAAAGUAGCGAUGGCCAAGCCCAUAAAGGGGGCAUCUCGGAAAGCCGUUCGCAUGCACGGAAGAGAUGAAAGCCCCGUGCGCGCUAGAAAACGGUUUCGCAACUCACUUCGGGAAGCAAAUGCGCUGCCCCCCAAAACAUAAAGUUGGCGAACUGUGCCUGACCCCGCUGGGGUUUUGGAAUGCCUCGUCCUCACAGGAAAAAAAUCCAGGGAAAUCAUCUUUUCCUUAAAAAGCAAAAGUGUCCAAAUUAUUUCUGUGACUGAAGUAGUUUGUCUGCGGUUGGCCAGUGACAUGGCAAGGCCUUGUUUGUGCAUUUAAGGUAAAUCAGAUUCUCUUCUAGGAGUCUGGAAGAGAACUUCCCCAAAGGGCACCCUCUUUCCCUUCUGACACAGAGGAAAUACCACAUAUAAAGAGCUACAAAUGUUUGAAGGAGAAAAAAAAUAAAGAAAAAUUCCAGCAUGUUAAAAUUUGAUAUUUUAUGUAGGCCCUUUUCAGCAAUGGUAGUUAAUUCCAAAAAGAACCACACGAGAGGUUUCACAUGUGGGGUCAUCCAUCCUUCCAGGGAUGCAGAAGGUUCCUACACAUACUAGGUGUCUGAUGAAUGUGAGCUCCCUUCCCCCUGCUUACCUCCUCCAUAGGAAUGCAUGCCUAUCCAGAAAAACACAAAACACACGCAUGUCAGGCCUCUGAGCCCAAGCCUGCACAUAUACAUCCAGAUGGCCUGAAGCAACUGAAGAAUCACAAAAGAAGUGAAAAUGCUGAAGCAACUGAAGAAUCACAAAAGAAGUGAAAAUGGCCGGUUCCUGCCUUAACUGAUAAGACAGUCACCUGUCCUCCUGCUCUUUGCUCUGUGAGAAAGAUCCACCUACAACCUCGGGUCCUCAGACCAACCAGCUCCAGGAACAUCUCACCAAUUUUAAAUUGGAUUCCCAGCCUUAUGAAGACACCCUAUCUGGACGAUCAGUUCUUGUUAAGAAUCUGACCCCUCAAACUCUACAACCUCGACGGACCGGACCCUACUUAGUCAUCUAUAAUACCCUAACUGCCGUCCUCCUGCAGGACCCUCCCCAUUGGGUUCACCGUUCCAGAAUAAAGCCGUGUCCAUUGGACAGCCAGCCUGAUCUCUCCUCUUCCUUCUGGAAGUCGCGAGUACUCACCCCUACUUCCCUUAAACUCACCCACAUUUCUGAAGAACAGUAGUAACCCUUAUGAGCCUAAUACAUCCCUUCAUUUUGUUAGGUCUAUCCUUCCUUACCAGAGUCUUUGCAACAGGGCCUUAUGCAGUCACCCCCACUACUUAGACUGCAUCCCAAAAACUUUUCAUCCCUGCUCUCUUCUGUCUAGUCAUACUCCUAUUCUUCGUUUUCACCUCUCCAUACAUGCCCUGCCCUUGUCUACACUGCCAGCUUAUACUUUUCCUCCAAACCAUCAUAGCUGGUCCUGGUCUUAUCCCCUAACUGCCACUCUUAACUCCCUCUUGGAAUGGAUAAAUGGCCUUUGCUGGAAAAGCACACUCCACUUCUUUCACCCAUUUUACAUUUCCAGUUUCGCCUUACGCAAGGUCUCUUCUUCCUCUGUGGCUCCUCCACCUGCAUGUGUCCACCUGUUAAUGAGACAGGAACAUGUACACUAGUUUUCCUUACCCCAAAAAUCAAUUUGCAAAUAAGACCGAGCAGCUUCCUGUUCCCCUCAUGACACCAACACUUCACUAUUAUUUUAUUUUUUCUUAUUAUUAAUAUAAGAAGACAGGAAUAGGCCUUGACUUACUCACUGCUGAAAAAGGAAGACUCUGUAUAUUUUUAAAUGAAGACUGUUGUUUUUACCUAAAUCAGUCUGGCCUGGUAUAUGACAACAUAAAAAAAUUCAAGGAUAGAGGCCAAAAACUCACCAGCCAAGCAAAUAAUCAUGCUGAACCCCCUUAGGCACUCUCUAAUUUGAAGUCCUGGGUCCUCCCAAUUCUUAGUCCUUUAAUACUUGUUUUUCUCCUUUUCUUAUUCGGACCUUAUGUCUUCUGUUUAGUUUCUCAGUUCAUACAAAACCAUAUCCAGGCCAUCACCAAUCAUCCUAUAUGACAAAUGCUCCUUCUAACAACCCCAGAAUAUCACCCCUUACCACAAAAUCUUCCUUCCUCUUAAUCUCUCCCACUCUAGGUUCCCAUGCCACCCCUAAUCCUGCUCGAAGCAGCCCUGAGAAACAUCACCCAUUAUCUCUCCAUACCACCCCCCAAAAUUUUCCCCACCCCAACACUUCACCACUGUUUGUUUUUCUUAUUAAUAUAAGAAGACAAGAAUGUCAGGACUCUGAGCCCAAGCCUGCACAUAUACAUCCAGAUGGCACGAAGCUACUGAAGAAUCACAAAAGAAGUGAAAAUGGUCGGUUCCUGCCUUAACUGAUGACAUUACCUUGUGAAAUUCCUUCUGGCUCAGAAGCUCCCCCACUGAGCACCUUGUGACCCCCGCCCCUGCCCUCAAGAGAACAACCCCCUUUGACUGUAAUUUUCCACUACCUACCCAAAUCCUAUAAAACUGCCCCAGCCCUAACUUCCUUUGCUGACUCUCUUUUUGGACUUAGCCCACCUGCAAUUAAAAAGCUUUAUUGCUCACACAAAGCCUGUUGGUGGUCCCUUCACACGGACACACGUGACAAUGCACACAC
rnacentral:lncRNA from 1 species